rnacentral:lncRNA from 1 species
GGACUCCCGGUCCCUGAGUCCUUCCAGGUCGCCCCGCGCCCUGAGGGGAGGCCAGGCGUGCGCCAGCCUCGAGGAACCGAACCCUCAGACGCCGAGGCGUGAGCCUCAGUUUGACAUUGCACUUCUGAAUUAAAGCUGUGUUGACAAAUUUCAUCUGAAGGACUAGGAAGAACCAACUGUAGGAUUUGAAUAAUGUAGCCCAUUGUAAGUACUUAG